rnacentral:rRNA from 1 species
UCCCAGACUCCUACGGGAGGCAGCAGUGGGGAAUAUUGCACAAUGGGGGAAACCCUGAUGCAGCAACGCCGCGUGAGUGAAGAAGUCAUUCGUGAUGUAAAGCCCUAUCGGCAGGGAAGAAGCAAGACGGUACCUGACUAAGAAGCCCCGGCUAACUACGUGCCAGCAGCCGCGGGAAUACGUAGGGGGCGAGCGUUAUCCGGAUUCACUGGGUGUAAAGGGAGCGUAGACGGCCAUGCAAGCCAGGGGUGAAAGCCCGGGGCCCAACCCCGGGACUGCCCUUGGAACUGUGCGGCUAGAGUGCGGGAGGGGCAGGCGGAAUUCCUGGUGUAGCGGUGAAAUGCGUAGAUAUCAGGAGGAACACCGGCGGCGAAGGCGGCCUGCUGGACCGCGACUGACGUUGAGGCUCGAAAGCGUGGGGAGCGAACAGGAUUAGAUACCCCUGUAAG